GCAAUUGGCGGAGGGCUAACACAUGCAAGUCGAGCGGUAGCACAGAGAGCUUGCUCUCGGGUGACGAGCGGCGGACGGGUGAGUAAUGUCUGGGAAACUGCCUGAUGGAGGGGGAUAACUACUGGAAACGGUAGCUAAUACCGCAUAAUGUCGCAAGACCAAAGUGGGGGACCUUCGGGCCUCAUGCCAUCAGAUGUGCCCAGAUGGGAUUAGCUAGUAGGUGGGGUAACGGCUCACCUAGGCGACGAUCCCUAGCUGGUCUGAGAGGAUGACCAGCCACACUGGAACUGAGACACGGUCCAGACUCCUACGGGAGGCAGCAGUGGGGAAUAUUGCACAAUGGGCGCAAGCCUGAUGCAGCCAUGCCGCGUGUGUGAAGAAGGCCUUCGGGUUGUAAAGCACUUUCAGCGGGGAGGAAGGCGGUAAGGUUAAUAACCUUGGCGAUUGACGUUACCCGCAGAAGAAGCACCGGCUAACUCCGUGCCAGCAGCCGCGGUAAUACGGAGGGUGCAAGCGUUAAUCGGAAUUACUGGGCGUAAAGCGCACGCAGGCGGUCUGUCAAGUCGGAUGUGAAAUCCCCGGGCUCAACCUGGGAACUGCAUUCGAAACUGGCAGGCUAGAGUCUUGUAGAGGGGGGUAGAAUUCCAGGUGUAGCGGUGAAAUGCGUAGAGAUCUGGAGGAAUACCGGUGGCGAAGGCGGCCCCCUGGACAAAGACUGACGCUCAGGUGCGAAAGCGUGGGGAGCAAACAGGAUUAGAUACCCUGGUAGUCCACGCCGUAAACGAUGUCGAUUUGGAGGUUGUGCCCUUGAGGCGUGGCUUCCGGAGCUAACGCGUUAAAUCGACCGCCUGGGGAGUACGGGCCGCAAGGUUAAAACUCAAAUGAAUUGACGGGGGCCCGCACAAGCGGUGAGCAUGUGGUUUAAUUCGAUGCAACGCGAGGA
rnacentral:rRNA from 1 species